rnacentral:rRNA from 1 species
GUGAGGAAUAUUGGACAAUGGGCGCAAGCCUGAUCCAGCCAUGCCGCGUGCAGGAAGACGCAUCUAUGGUGUGUAAACUGCUUUUGUACGGGAAGAAACACUCCCUCGUGAGGGAGCUUGACGGUACCGUAAGAAUAAGGAUCGGCUAACUCCGUGCCAGCAGCCGCGGUAAUACGGAGGAUCCAAGCGUUAUCCGGAAUCAUUGGGUUUAAAGGGUCCGUAGGCGGUUUAAUAAGUCAGUGGUGAAAGCCCAACGCUCAACGAUGGAACGGCCAUUGAUACUGUUAGACUUGAAUUACAAGGAAGUAACUAGAAUAUGUAGUGUAGCGGUGAAAUGCUUAGAUAUUACAUGGAAUACCAAUUGCGAAGGCAGGUUACUACUUGUGGAUUGACGCUGGUGGACGAAAGCGUGGGGAGCGAACAGGAUUAGAUACCCUGGUAGUCC